UCGCAGACGCAGAUUCGGCAGGGCUCGGGUUUCCACACGUCUCGGUCAUGGUACCUGAGGCCGUUCUGUACGCAGAUUAGAAAACUGAGGCCCAGAGAAGGAAAGUAGCUGCCAGAGGUCACACAGCUGGGAUUGAAGGAUCAGAGAGAUCCUCCUUCCCCGCAAGCUGGUGCAUGUGGAUUUUGGCUCUGUUUGCCUUUGACCCCUAGUGAAAGAAAAUACUGAGGACCACAGGUCAUCCUCAAGCCUUCCUCCCAGGCUCUCCUUGUCCCUGAAUACUAAUGUCUAAAGGUCAGCCCAGCUACCACCAGUGUGCAUGUGAUGUGUCCCAUCUCCCCUUCAGAUUGGAGAAGAAGCUGUGUCCCUCCCAUCAGACAGAGGGUCUCCUUAAAGAUUCUCCUGGUCUCCAGCUUGGGCUCUGCUGGAAAGAAGAGGAAGUAUUUAGCAAGGAUGAAGGUGGGUUCUUACUUCCCUGAGGCAGCCAGAGAUAAGAAAAGACUGGAAUAUGAAUAUCCAGCAUUCCACAAAGAAUCCUACAGGCAGAGAUAUUGCCCAAUCCCCAGUGCCUCGCAUCCCAGCUCUAUCCAAGAUCCAAGCUUGAUAUCCUCCUGAAAGACUUCCUGAAUCAGGUCACCAACAUGGACAUCUGAACUUCAAGAAUCAGGUCACCAUCUUUCUUCUCAUCUCUGGAUGUAUUUGGAGCUCAUUUGUCUGACAGUUUUUGAAUGCUAAUUUUUUAAAAUAAACUUUUACAAUUUGAGUUUAA